AUUGAACGCUGGCGGCAGGCCUAACACAUGCAAGUCGAACGGUAGCACAGAGAGCUUGCUCUCGGGUGACGAGUGGCGGACGGGUGAGUAAUGUCUGGGAAACUGCCCGAUGGAGGGGGAUAACUACUGGAAACGGUAGCUAAUACCGCAUAACGUCGUAAGACCAAAGUGGGGGACCUUCGGGCCUCACACCAUCGGAUGUGCCCAGAUGGGAUUAGCUAGUAGGUGGGGUAAUGGCUCACCUAGGCGACGAUCCCUAGCUGGUCUGAGAGGAUGACCAGCAACACUGGAACUGGGACACGGUCCAGACUCCUACGGGAGGCAGCAGUGGGGAAUAUUGCACAAUGGGCGCAAGCCUGAUGCAGCCAUGCCGCGUGUAUGAAGAAGGCCUUCGGGUUGUAAAGUACUUUCAGCGGGGAGGAAGGCGGUGGAGUUAAUAACUUCACCGAUUGACAUUACCCGCAGAAGAAGCACCGGCUAACUCCGUGCCAGCCGCCGCAGUAA
rnacentral:rRNA from 1 species